UAGGAAGAUAUAUAUAGAUAUUGAUGCGGUUCAAUCUGAAAGACAUGGUUAGAUAUGUAAUUAGCCUUGUAAUUUUGGAUUGAGCCGCGUCAAUAUCUCUCUUCCUA
rnacentral:pre_miRNA from 1 species